GGGGCAGUAGCUCAGUCGGGAGAGCGCAUCGUUCGCAAUGAUGAGGUCAGGGGUUCGAUUCCCCUCUGCUCCACCA
rnacentral:tRNA from 1 species